UUAGUGGCGGACGGGUGAGUAACGCGUGGGUAACCUGCCUUAUACAGGGGGAUAACAACCAGAAAUGGUUGCUAAUACCGCAUAAGCGCACAGGACCGCAUGGUCCGGUGUGAAAAACUCCGGUGGUAUAAGAUGGACCCGCGUUGGAUUAGCUAGUUGGCAGGGUAACGGCCUACCAAGGCGACGAUCCAUAGCCGGCCUGAGAGGGUGAACGGCCACAUUGGGACUGAGACACGGCCCAG
rnacentral:rRNA from 1 species